UACGUAGGUGGCAAGCGUUGUCCGGAUUUACUGGGCGUAAAGAGCGCGCAGGCGGUCGUGCAAGUCGCGUGUGAAAGCCCCCGGCUCAACUGGGGAGGGUCACGCGAUACUGCUCGACUCGAAGGCAGGAGAGGGAAGUGGAAUUCCCGGUGUAGUGGUGAAAUGCGUAGAUAUCGGGGAGGAACACCAGUGGCGAAGGCGGCUUUCUGGGCCUUACCUGACGCUGAGACGCGAAAGCGUGGGGAGCGAACCGG
rnacentral:rRNA from 1 species